CCCCUAACCCAGCUGCUGACAAACAGAGAGCGUGCUGCUGCUUUGCUGAGAGCUGGGAAACCUGAUGGGACCACCAGCUGAGGAGCUCUGCUGUGCAGCUCAGAGCUCAGAGAUGCUCUUGGCCCACACAUUUAGCCUUUGAAGGCAGUACAUUGCCUGGAGUUGUAACCUCUCCCGGGUCUGAUGGCCGAGGCCAACAGGGCAUAUCCAGAGUGUUCUCCACUUGUAGAGUCUUUCCAGAGCAUCCAAGGGUUAGAGGAAGGAAGCUAGCACACCAUUCCGGAUGAUUAUUUCCUGUUUUUCAUCAGAAAAUAUACCAUGUGGGUAAAUCUGACAUUGUCAAAAUUCUGACCUCAACCUCCAGGGUCACGCUGUGAGUAAACAGAGAGAUCUGAAUUCUGUUUCAUGGAGCCUGAUAGAACAGCACCACGGAGCUGAAGAUGAACAGAUUAAAAGAAAAAAAAAGUGUUGACACCUUCUUUCAUCAAGAAGUGUAGCCUGGAGGAGUCCCAGACCAUGUGGGGAUGAAGAAGCCAUGGCACUGAACCAUCUCAGGGACAGGGCUUCUCCUGUCCAGCAGCAAACAUUUCCCUGCUCCAACCACCCAUGAAAAAGUCAAAGGCAACUUCAGCAGAUACCACCAACAGCCCAAUUUCAGCUUUCCAUGCCUGCAUGGGGAAAUGAGUCCCUUCCAACCCACUGUACUCUAUGAUUCUACGCAACAGUACAUCUCAUGAAUCUCUUCCAGCUCACAGUCACCCUCAGCCUUACGUCUCUCUUAGCUAAACUCUUCACUUACAAAGAGCAGCAGCAAAGACACCCAGGUAACUCAGGGUCAGCAAUGCUAUUUUUGCGUUGCCUUUCCUGUGUUUGCAGGAUCUUGGUGUGCCAUGUCUCCAUCAUCUCCUGUGUCUCCACCCUGCAUUUCAUGGGCACUCGGCGCCAGAUUCCCGGUGCUAUAAACACACAGCCUUCAUCCUGGUGGAGAAUGAACUCUCCUUUUUAUUGUCUUUGACUUGAGGGCUGCCUUUUGCAAGGAGAACAAAACAAUAACUUAAGGGUAGAGGAAAUCUUUAUAUCUGUCUUCCCAAAAUAACUUGGGUAGAACUAAGAUUUAGCCUGGAGAACUUGGAUAAAUGGAGUAGGAAGUAUUUAUCACCAUCACUGUUUAUUAUUUAAUUCUCCCUCCUGAGUCUUGUUCUAUCCCUGGCUGGUGCUAGUCAUAAAUAUUUCAUCAAGAGUUCUUUAGGCAGAGCAUCUGUUCGUGGCAUGAACGCAUAUGCUGCUCUGAGGACAUUGCCUGAAAGGUGGACUCUGCUGAAACAUUUAUGGGAUCCCAGAAAGACCACGGGAUCCCAUAAAUCGGAAUGGAAGGGCAGAAAAGCGAUUGUUACAGAACACAGCAGGUGACCUACCUUGUUUGUUUACCAUGAAGUAUGGCACUCUUUGCUUUUUCUCUCUAGGAAGUUUGAAUUAUUUCCUCAAACGUGCUGUUACAGCAGGAGAGCUGCUCCUUGUAUUUCUGAUGCUACACAGGGAUAAAAAAUAAAAUAAAAUGAAAUAAC
ensembl:lncRNA